rnacentral:pre_miRNA from 1 species
AAUAAGUACAGCCGUGGGUAUCCGUGUCCAACGUUUGACCGUUCGUCUUAUUUGAAAAAUUUAUGAAAAAAUUAAAAAAAUAGUCACACAUAAAGUACUAUUCAUAUUUUAUCAUCUAAUAAUAAUAAAAAUACUAAUCAUAAAAAAAUUUCAAAUAAGACAAACGGUUAAACGUUGGACGUGAACAGU